rnacentral:lncRNA from 1 species
GGGGUUGCGUUUCUAAAUAAAUCACCAUACAAUAUAUCUGUUUUCAGGUGACAAUGAGUAUGAAGUAUCGCAUGAAUAUAAUUGAAAAGAAAUAAUGAAAGGUGUCGUUAUUAAUUGGAGAUCUCAUCAACCGGAAUAUUGAACCAGACUCCAGCUGAGAGCCACUUGUAGUAGCCAAUCAAGAUAUCAGUCUCCAUUUUCCAGCAAAAAAACCCAAAAAACUGUUUAAGACUAAAAUGUUUCAAAAGUCUCAACAUCUUAGUUAAACUUUGACCGCGGAAUUCGACAUUUUCACAUCUUGGCUUGAUUCUCCAAAAAAAAUGACAAUUCAUUUUAUAUUCAAUUCAAUUUUUAUCAUAGUCUCACUACUUGCAAUACAUAAAUAUACAGUACAUACAGAGUAUAUACACAAUAUAAAACAGACAUUUAUACACAAAUAUAAAAUAAUCGAGAAUCGAAACUAAAAAUAUCGAAAAGAGACAGAUAAAUUCGUGACGAAAAAAACGAGAAACGACAAAAAGACAAAAAGACAAACAAUACAAACACAACAUAGAAAACAAUAGUCUACAAACACAACACAACAUAGAAAACAACAGUCUACAAACACAACAUAGAAAACAAUAGUCUACAAACACAACAUAGAAAACAAUAGUCUACAAACUCAACAUAGAAAACAAUAGUCUAUAAAUACAACAUAGAAAACAAUAGUCUAUAAACACAUCAUAGAAAACUAUAGUCUUCAAACACAACAUAGAAAACAGUAGUCUACAAACACAUCAUAGAAAACAAUAGUCUACAAAAAUACUAAAGAAUAGAGAAAAAUGGGUCAAAUACUAAAGAAUAGAGAAUGAUUGGCCAAAUAUAAAGAAUAGAGAAAAAUGGGUCAAAUACUAAAGAAUAGAGAAUGAUUGGCCAAAUAUAAAGAAUAGAGAAAAAUGGGUCAAACACUAAAGAAAAAAGAAUGAUUGGCCAAAUAUAAAGAAUAGAGAAAAAUGGGUCAAAUACUAAACAAUAGAGAAUGAUUUGUUAAAUAUAAGAAUAGAAAAAAAUGGGUCAAAUACUAAAGAAUAGAGAAUGAUUGGCCAAAUAUAAAGAAUAGAGAAAAAUAGGUCAAAUACUAAAGAACAGAGAAUUAUUGGCCAAAUAUAAAGAAUAGAGACAAAUGGGUCAAAUACUAAAGAAAAGAGAAUGAUUGGCCAAAUAUAAAGAAUAGAGAAAAAUGGGUCAAAUACUAAAAAAUAGAGAAUGAUUAGCCAAAAAAAAACAAUAGAGAAAAAGGGGUUAAAUACUAAAGAAAAGAGAAUGAUUGGCCAAAAAUAACAAUAGAGAAAAAUGGAUCAAAUACUAAAGAAUAGAGAAAUAUUUGCCAAAAACAAGAAUGGAGAAAAAUGGGUCAAAUUCUUAAGAAUAGAGAAUGAUUGGCCAAAUAUAAAGAAUAGAGAAAAAUGGAUCAACUACUAAAGAAUAGAGAAUGAUUGGCCAAAAAUAAAGAAAAGAGAAAAAUGGGUCAAAUACGAAAGAAAAGAGAAUGAUUCGCAAAAAGUAAGAAUAGAGAAAAAUGGGUCAAAUACUAAAGAAUGGAGAAUAAAGGGGUGCUAAAAUAUACAGAAAAUAAUAGGCCAAAAAUAAGAAUAGAGAAAAAUGGGUCAAAUACUAAAGAAUAGAGAAUGAUUGUCCAAAAAUAAAGAAUAGAGAAAAAUGGGUCAAUUACUAAAGAAUAUCUAGUAUAUUGGGGUGCUAAAAUAUACAGAAAAUAAAGGGCCUAAAAUAAAGGAUAGAGGAAAAUAGCAAAAAAAAAAAAAAAAAAAAA